CAGUGGCGGGGUGCUAAAAUGCAAGUCGGAUGUGCCGCAAGGUGCAUGGCAGACGGGUGAGUAACGCGUAGGGAAUCUACCUCUUUGUGGGGAAUAACGCUCCGAAAGGAGUGGUAAUACCGCAUGAGACUGUGGACUGGGAUGUUCACGGUGAAACCUGGGGACCGAAAGGCCUGGGGCAAGGAGAGGAUCCUGCGUCUGAUUAGCUAGUUGGCGGGGUAAUGGCCCACCAAGGUGACGAUCAGUAGCCGGCCUGAGAGGGUGAUCGGCCACACUGGAACUGAGACACGGUCCAGACUCCUACGGGAGGCAGCAGUGGGGAAUUUUGCGCAAUGGACGAAAGUCUGACGCAGCAACGCCGCGUGGGUGAUGAAGGUCUUCGGACUGUAAAACCCUGUCGUCAGGGACGAAGGUUGGGGGGUUAAUAACCCCUUAGCUUGACGGUACCUGGAGAGGAAGCCCCGGCUAACUCUGUGCCAGCAGCCGCGGUAAUACAGAGGGGGCAAGCGUUAUUCGGAAUUAUUGGGCGUAAAGGGCGCGUAGGCGGUUUUUUAAGUCAGAUGUGUAAUCCCCGAGCUCAACUUGGGAACUGCAUCUGAGACUGGAAGGCUAGAGUACUGGAGAGGGUGGUGGAAUUCCUCGUGUAGCGGUGAAAUGCGUAGAGAUGAGGAGGAACACCAGUGGCGAAGGCGGCCACCUGGACAGUAACUGACGCUGAGGCGCGAAAGUGUGGGUAGCAAACAGGAUUAGAUACCCUGGUAGUCCACGCUGUAAACGAUGAACACUUGGUGUGGAGGGAGUUGACCCCUUUCCGUGCCGG
rnacentral:rRNA from 1 species